rnacentral:lncRNA from 1 species
GCCUCAGCAACCAACCUCCAGGGAGGGGAAAGGGGGCAGAAGUUUGAGUUAAUAACUAAUAGCUAAAGAUGUAAACAAUAAGCCUCCAUAAAACCCCAAAAGGACUGGACUGGUUUCUGAGAGCUUCCAGGUUGUUGAGCACGUGGAGGUUCUGGGAGGGUCCACACCCAGAGAAGGCAUGGAAGCUGACCCCUUCCCCAUACCUUGCUCUUUGCAUCUCUUCCAUUUGGCUGUUCCCGAGUUGUAUACUUUGUAAUAAGUGGGAUUUCCACCCAACAACAAUUCAGCCACACUGCUUCACACAUCUAGAAUCCAUCCAAAAUUGUAAAGGCUUUGUGGCACUACAGUGAAACAGGCAAGAACAUCUUCCAAACAUCCAGCACAAGAGCACACAGGAGGCCGGCAUAAUCACGAAUUGCAGCUGUCUGAAGGGCAGUCACAUAAAAGAGGAGAAGCUUCACCUUUGCUUCACAAGGCACAUCUUGAACCAGGGAUGGAAAUUACAGAGAGGCCAAAACCAGCUCGGUGUGAGCAGGACUGGUAACAGACUGGCCAAGCAACAGAAGGGGCUGCCCUGUGAAGAAGCAAGCUCUCUGUCAAUGGGAGGUGCAAGCUGAGCCUGCACUACCUUUUGUCACGGUUGCUAUGGAAAAGAUUAAGAGCCCGGGCUGCUUGAGUGUCUGCAUGACAUGGCAGCUGGCUCCCUGAAGAGCACGUGAUCCGAAAGAGAGAGCAAGACAGAAGCGCAGUGUCUUCAACAGCAUAUCUUUGAAAGUCAUAUUCCACCGUUUUCACUACAUUCUAUUGAUAAGAUAGCCCUUCCUCCUCUGGGGGCCUGGGCAUCAGCAAGUCGGAUGGCAGUGGAAGGUGGAGAAAUGGAAUCCUGCUGGGGGCUCAGGAGGCCUGCCCCCUGAUGCUGCCGUGCACUGCAGAUGUCCUUGAUGAAGAGAAUGAAUGGAAGCUGUCUUUCUCAAUGGCAAAAGGGCAUACUGCUGUUAUUGUCAGUGAGGGGUCAGUAGUUUAAAUGAUGAAACUCUGGGGAUCAGCGUAAAGUAAACCAACAUACUGCAUGUAAAUUCCUCAUUCUUACUGCUGUGAGAACAAUUGUUAGGAGCCAAAAACUUCAGAGCUUUCAAAGAACUGUAAUGAGAUAGCACAAUGCAGGCAAAAAGCCAGUGUUAACGGAGCAAGAAACUUCCCAGUUCUGACAUUCACAGCAUGACCUAGAGCAUGCGGAUUCCCCUCUCUGAGUCACUGGUUUCUCACCUGCAAAAGAAAGCGGGGACAGGGAAGGAGGAAGAAGCUUCGAGAGGCUGGAACAGUUGAGGGAGCGCUGACACGGUAAAGGCCACUUUGCUCAUCAUCACCAGGCGUGCUGCCGAAAAUUUCCACUCUGUUUACUCCCAAGACCUUACUCCUACUAUGUGGAGACACAUUUGAAUAAAAAAUUGGCCUCUUUUCAAAGUCAAAAUUCUGAGCCAGCUUGAAGGGAUUGUUUUUGGUCAAACCUGCAUCAAUUUGGGCAUCAAAAUAAAUAAUGCUACCAAUUUAUUGCACCCUAUUGAA